UACGGAGGGUGCAAGCGUUGUCCGGAUUUAUUGGGUUUAAAGGGUGCGUAGGCGGCUAUUUAAGUCAGCGGUGAAAGACUUCGGCUCAACCGGAGCAGUGCCAUUGAUACUGGAUAGCUUGAGUGUUGGAAGGGUACAUGGAAUUGAUGGUGUAGCGGUGAAAUGCAUAGAUACCAUCAGGAACACCGAUAGCGAAGGCAUUGUACUGGCCAACAACUGACGCUGAGGCACGAAAGUGUGGGGAUCGAACAGG
rnacentral:rRNA from 1 species